rnacentral:rRNA from 1 species
AUGUCGAACCCCAAGGGGUCGAAGAUGCUCCAGUUCGUCAACUACCGGAUGCGCGUGACGAUCCAGGACGGCCGCCAACUCGUGGGGAAGUUCAUGGCCUUCGAUCGCCACAUGAACCUCGUCCUCGGCGACUGCGAGGAGUUCCGCAAGCUCCCGCCCUCAAAAUCUUCCAAGACCACAGGCGAGCGCGAGGAGCGGAGGACGCUCGGCCUGCUGCUUCUUCGUGGCGAGGAAGUCGUCUCCAUGACCGUCGAGGGCCCGCCCCCGCCCGACGAGUCCCGGGCCAAGGCCUCCGCUGGUGUUGCCGCGCUUUCCGGCACUGGCGUCGGUCGCGCUGCCGGCCGUGGGGUGGCCACCGGCCCGCUGCUCCAGGCGCAGCCCGGCCUCUCCGGCCCUGUUCGGGGCGUGGGCGGUCCGGCCCCCGGCAUGAUGCAGCCCCAGAUCUCGCGUCCCCCAAUGCCGAACCUCUCAGCGCCGCCGGUGGCGUACCCACAGGUCGUCCGCCCGCCACCGAUGGGUAUGCCGCCCAUGCGACCUGGUGGCCCGCCACCGAUGCAGAUGCAGUUUCAGCGCCCGCCGGGUCCCCCGCCUGCGCCAUACCCUGGGGCCCCGCCGCAGCAGUUCAUGAGGGGACCGCCACCGAUGGGGCCUCCACCAGGGAGGCCGGGGAUGCCAAGCAUGCCACCACCGCCAGGGAUGAGGCCGAUGCCACCAACGCAGUUUGGACAACCACCCAGGCAUGGAAUGCCGCCACCACCGCCUGGUCCACAGCAGCCUGGACAGAACCCCCAGCAGUAG